rnacentral:piRNA from 1 species
CUGGUGUGACAGAAUCCAUGUAG